GACGAACGCUGGCGGCGUGCUUAACACAUGCAAGUCGAACGGAAAGGCCCUGCUUUUGUGGGGUGCUCGAGUGGCGAACGGGUGAGUAACACGUGAGUAACCUGCCCUUGACUUUGGGAUAACUUCAGGAAACUGGGGCUAAUACCGGAUAGGAGCUCCUGCUGCAUGGUGGGGGUUGGAAAGUUUCGGCGGUUGGGGAAGGACUCGCGGCUUAUCAGCUUGUUGGUGGGGUAGUGGCUUACCAAGGCUUUGACGGGUAGCCGGCCUGAGAGGGUGACCGGCCACAUUGGGACUGAGAUACGGCCCAGACUCCUACGGGAGGCAGCAGUGGGGAAUAUUGCACAAUGGGCGGAAGCCUGAUGCAGCGACGCCGCGUGCGGGAUGACGGCCUUCGGGUUGUAAACCGCUUUCGCCUGUGACGAAGCGUGAGUGACGGUAAUGGGUAAAGAAGCACCGGCUAACUACGUG
rnacentral:rRNA from 1 species